GACGAACCGAGCGAACGUUAUUCGGAAUCACUUGGGCUUAAAGGGCGCGUAGGCGGAUCAAAAAGUCAGGGGUGAAAUCCCACGGCUCAACCGUGGAAGUGCCUUUGAUACUGUUGAUCUCGAGGGAGGUAGGGGCGUGCGGAACUUCCGGUGGAGCGGUGAAAUGCGUAGAUAUCGGAAGGAACACCGGUGGCGAAAGCGGCGCGCUGGACCUCUUCUGACGCUGAGGCGCGAAGCCAGGGAGCAAGCGGG
rnacentral:rRNA from 1 species